rnacentral:lncRNA from 1 species
GGGAAUCAGAGUCGACUUUUGCUUCAGCUGGAAUGGCAAGGCUGUAGAGCUGAGAUGAGAAACUGUAAACUUGCUCAGCCAAAGGAGGCUAAUAAUGAAGGGGCCAGGGAAGGAGGCCAAUGCUACAGGGUUAUCUCCUAACCUCAGAUGUUGGAUAAGUCCACAGAAACAGCAGCGCCUCUGGAUGGCUUCAGAAGGCUGGAGUGAUUGUUUGGACGAGAAAAACCCGCCUAUUCAUUCAAAGAUGUUAGUCUAUCUAGAACAACAGAUUUGGAUCUAAGCUGGACCUUUGAGAAAGAAAAGACUUCGAGGAAAAACACCUUUCCAUAUGUUUUAAUUACCUUUCACCUGAAUUGUUUAAUGCACACUAUCCAACUAUAUUCAUCUUUCUUGCUUCCUGUGUAUUUCUUCUU